ensembl:snoRNA SNORD58 Small nucleolar RNA SNORD58
CAGCAGUGAUGAGUAUUUAGGACACCUUUGAUUCUACAUGAAGAUUAAAGAUGAAAUCUGAGCUGU